rnacentral:rRNA from 1 species
GACGAGGGUGGCAAGCGUUGUUCGGAUUUACUGGGCGUAAAGGGGGUCUAGGUGGUAUGCUAAGUCCUCUGUGAAACUCCGGAGCUUAACUCCGGGACUGCAGGGGAAACUGGCAUGCUCGAGCGCGUAAGACGCAUGCGGAAUACUGGGUGUAGCGGUGAAAUGCGUAGAUAUCCAGUAGAACACCUGCGGCGAAAGCGGCCUGCGUGUACGUUGCUGACACUGACGCCCGAAAGCGUGGGGAG